GUGCAGCAGUCGCGAAACUUCACAAUGUGCGAAAGCACGAUGAGGGAAUCCCAAGUGCUUGCACGUAAGUGUAAGCUGUUUCUCUGUCUAAAACGCAGAGGGAGUAAGGGCUGGGUAAGACGGGUGCCAGCCGCCGCGGUGAUACCUGCAGCUCGAGUGGUGACCGUUAUUAUUGGGCCUAAAACGUCCGUAGCCGGUUUAAUAAAUGCCUGGGUAAAUCGGACCGCUUAACGGUUCGAAUUCCGGGUAGACUGUUAAACUUGAGACCGGGAGAAGUUAGAGGUACUCCUGGGGUAGAGGUGAAAUUCUGUAAUCCUAGGGGGACCACCAGUGGCGAAGGCGUCUAACUAGAACGGGUCUGACGGUGAGGGACGAAGCCCUGGGGCGCAAACGGGAUUAGAUACCCCUGUAGU
rnacentral:rRNA from 1 species